rnacentral:rRNA from 1 species
AUUGAACGCUGGCGGCAUGCCUUACACAUGCAAGUCGAACGGCAGCACGGAGCUUGCUCUGGUGGCGAGUGGCGAACGGGUGAGUAAUAUAUCGGAACGUACCCUAGAGUGGGGGAUAACGUAGCGAAAGUUACGCUAAUACCGCAUACGAUCUAAGGAUGAAAGUGGGGGACCGCAAGACCUCAUGCUCGUGGAGCGGCCGAUAUCUGAUUAGCUAGUUGGUAGGGUAAAAGCCUACCAAGGCAUCGAUCAGUAGCUGGUCUGAGAGGACGACCAGCCACACUGGAACUGAGACACGGUCCAGACUCCUACGGGAGGCAGCAGUGGGGAAUUUUGGACAAUGGGCGAAAGCCUGAUCCAGCAAUGCCGCGUGAGUGAAGAAGGCCUUCGGGUUGUAAAGCUCUUUUGUCAGGGAAGAAAUGGUGAGAGCUAAUAUCUCUUGCUAAUGACGGUACCUGAAGAAUAAGCACCGGCUAACUACGUGCCAGCAGCCGCGGUAAUACGUAGGGUGCAAGCGUUAAUCGGAAUUACUGGGCGUAAAGCGUGCGCAGGCGGUUUUGUAAGUCUGAUGUGAAAUCCCCGGGCUCAACCUGGGAAUUGCAUUGGAGACUGCAAGGCUAGAAUCUGGCAGAGGGGGGUAGAAUUCCACGUGUAGCAGUGAAAUGCGUAGAUAUGUGGAGGAACACCGAUGGCGAAGGCAGCCCCCUGGGUCAAGAUUGACGCUCAUGCACGAAAGCGUGGGGAGCAAACAGGAUUAGAUACCCUGGUAGUCCACGCCCUAAACGAUGUCUACUAGUUGUCGGGUCUUAAUUGACUUGGUAACGCAGCUAACGCGUGAAGUAGACCGCCUGGGGAGUACGGUCGCAAGAUUAAAACUCAAAGGAAUUGACGGGGACCCGCACAAGCGGUGGAUGAUGUGGAUUAAUUCGAUGCAACGCGAAAAACCUUACCUACCCUUGACAUGGCUGGAAUCCCCGAGAGAUCAGGGAGUGCUCGAAAGAGAACCAGUACACAGGUGCUGCAUGGCUGUCGUCAGCUCGUGUCGUGAGAUGUUGGGUUAAGUCCCGCAACGAGCGCAACCCUUGUCAUUAGUUGCUACGAAAGGGCACUCUAAUGAGACUGCCGGUGACAAACCGGAGGAAGGUGGGGAUGACGUCAAGUCCUCAUGGCCCUUAUGGGUAGGGCUUCACACGUCAUACAAUGGUACGUACAGAGCGCCGCCAACCCGCGAGGGGGAGCUAAUCGCAGAAAGUGUAUCGUAGUCCGGAUUGCAGUCUGCAACUCGACUGCAUGAAGUUGGAAUCGCUAGUAAUCGCGGAUCAGCAUGUCGCGGUGAAUACGUUCCCGGGUCU